rnacentral:rRNA from 1 species
GACGAACGCUGGCGGCGUGCUUAACACAUGCAAGUCGAACGAAGAGCGAUGGAAGCUUGCUUCUAUCAAUCUUAGUGGCGAACGGGUGAGUAACGCGUAAUCAACCUGCCCUUCAGAGGGGGACAACAGUUGGAAACGACUGCUAAUACCGCAUACGAUCUAAUCUCGGCAUCGAGGAUAGAUGAAAGGUGGCCUCUACAUGUAAGCUAUCACUGAAGGAGGGGAUUGCGUCUGAUUAGCUAGUUGGAGGGGUAACGGCCCACCAAGGCGAUGAUCAGUAGCCGGUCUGAGAGGAUGAACGGCCACAUUGGGACUGAGACACGGCCCAGACUCCUACGGGAGGCAGCAGUGGGGAAUCUUCCGCAAUGGACGAAAGUCUGACGGAGCAACGCCGCGUGAGUGAUGACGGCCUUCGGGUUGUAAAGCUCUGUUAAUCGGGACGAAAGGCCUUCUUGCGAAUAGUGAGAGGGAUUGACGGUACCGGAAUAGAAAGCCACGGCUAACUACGUG